GAUGAACGCUGGCGGUGUGCCUAAUACAUGCAAGUCGAGCGAACAGACGAGGAGCUUACUCCUCUGACGUUAGCGGCGGACGGGUGAGUAACACGUGGAUAACCUACCUAUAAGACUGGGAUAACUUCGGGAAACCGGAGCUAAUACCGGAUAACAUGUUGAACCGCAUGGUUCAACAGUGAAAGACGGUCUUGCUGUCACUUAUCGAUGGAUCCGCGUCGCAUUAGCUAGUUGGUAAGGUAACGGCUUACCAAGGCAACGAUGCGUAGCCGACCUGAGAGGGUGAUCGGCCACACUGGAACUGAGACACGGUCCAGACUCCUACGGGAGGCAGCAGUAGGGAAUCUUCCGCAAUGGGCGAAAGCCUGACGGAGCAACGCCGCGUGAGUGAAGAAGGUCUUCGGAUCGUAAAACUCUGUUAUUAGGGAAGAACAAAUGUGUAAGUAACUAUGCACGUCUUGACGGUACCUAAUCAGAAGGCCACGGCUAACUACGUG
rnacentral:rRNA from 1 species